rnacentral:lncRNA from 1 species
CGGCGACGUCACAGUGGCGCUACAGUGCCUGGAGCUGCGCUGGUUUUUCCUCGGAGUGGAGCCUGGUAACCGCGACUUCCCCGCCAUGUUCUGUGUGUUGCUGGCUGGAGAAGGGUGGUUGACAAACUCCGACCCAGCACAGUGUUUCUGUGGGUCAAAACUAGAAAACUAUGUCCAGGCUCGGCCGAGGCGGAAGGAUCCGUUCAGGCCAGGAGUUAAAGAGCUGCCUGGGCAACAUGGCGCGACCCCAUCUCUGUAGUCCCACCUCAGCUUCCCAGAUACUUGAACCCCAAGGUUCAAGGCUGCAAUGAGCUAUGAUCCCAUCACAGCACUCCAUCCUGCGAGACGGAGGUAAACCUUGUCUAAAAAAAUAAACUAUCCAAGUGUACAACAGGGAGGGACUGCUUAAAGAAAACAUGAUAAUUGUAUGUUCAAAUACUUUUAACAAGUGCAAAAUGUAUAGGCUGAAAUAAAUAGGGCUGGCCGGGCACGUUGGCUCACGCCUGUAAAUUCCAACAUUUUGUGUGCUCGAGGCAUUCCGAUCAGUAGACAUGGGUGAAACCCCAUGUCUACUAAAAAUAUAAAAAUUAGGCCAGGAACUUUGCAUCGUUUUAGGGGGCUCGCAUCUCCCUAAGGGCCCGGUAAUUGAACCCCUUGGACCUGAGGGUGAGAAACCUUGGCUCAGUUCUUCCCAGGGUGAUCAGCCCAGGGGUAAGCGAGGAGAGACCAGAAAACAGGACCCAUGAGAAGGUCCCCCUCCUGGAGUUUGAGGCCCAUUCCUUCUUGUCCCUGCGUCUCCUCUUUCCAGGACUCCUCCCUGCUCUGCCCCACUCCUGGGAGUGGGGUCAUGGCCAUGGGGGGCUGCUUUUGGGUACAGGCCCCAGCGGCAACCCUGGGCCCAAAGUGGGCAGGCUCACCUGGAGGGGAUCAGAGUCACAUGGCAAGACGCAAGGGGAAAAGCCGCGCUGGAACCGCACCUCUCUGCCCCCUGAUGUCAGUGGGUGCACUCUUCCCUCACCUCACUCAGGCAGCGGCUUGAGUUCCAUGGGAGCACUGUCCUGCUCCCUCUGCUGCCUCUUUUUAGUCUUGGGGCUACUAUAACACUUUCCCUUCCCCAGCCCUGCCAACCUGGUGGGACAUUGGGCUUCCCUCUUCCUGGGGACAGGCGGGUCCUGGGGACAAGCCUGUCCUGUAUCAUACCUGCAGCGAGACUCUUUUUUUCUCCAGGACCUGCGGAGCAGCCAGGCUUCAUGAGUUAAAUGCAGAUCUGAACCAUACCCAGUUGGGAUUGGGGUACACACUCUACUCCUCUGAAAACUAGCUAGGGGUUCGAACUUGGUGAGAGGGAGAGUGGGACAGAGCCAGACCAGACAAGGACUGAUCACCUGGAAAAACCUGCCAUCAAAGACCUUGACGAGUGCUGGGGGCGGUGGCUCAUGCCUGUAAUCCCAACACUUUGGGAGGCUGAGACAGGUGGAUCACUUGAGGCCAGGAGUUCGAGUCCCGCCUGGGCAACAUGGCAAAACCCUGUCUCUACUAAAAAUACAAAAAUUAGCUAGGUAUGCUAUGCUCCUGUAAUCCCAGCUACUCGGGAGGUUGAGGCAGGAGAAUCGUUUGAACUGGGGAGGUAGAGGUUGCAGUGAGCUGAGAUUGUGUCACUGCCCUCCAGCCUGGGUGACAGAGUGAGACUCCGUCUCAAAAAAAAAAAAAAAACCCACCUGAAGAAGGUUUCCAGUUCUGCCAGCAGUCCCCCAUCCAACCCCCAGAAGCAGACAUUCCUUUGCUGUGGGCCAUGGACAGGCAGAAGGAAGCGCCUCCUCAUGGCAGAGGCCUACCCAGGAGAAACCCAAGGGAAGGCACUGCCUGGCCAGCCCCUCUGCCAAAGCCAUUUUCUUUUUUCCUUUUUUUUUUUUUUUUUUUUUGAGACACAGUUUCACUCUGUCUCCCAGACUGGAGUGCAGUGGCAUGAUCUUGGCUCACUUCAACCUUCACCCCCUCCCCCGCCCCCUGCCGGGUUCAAGUGAUUCCCAUGUUUCAGCUUCCUGAGUAGCUGAGAUUGCAGGCAUGCGCCACCACACCUGUCUAAUUUUUGUAGAGACGGGGUUUCACCAUGUUGGCCAGGCUGGUCUGGAACUCCUGACUUGAA